CUUGAAGUCAGUUAAAACUUCCUAGAAGACAUCAAAGUGAGAAAAGAACCAUGGAAGGUGCUAGGAGGCCGAGAAGCUGCACAGCUCGAGCUGGAAUUCGCCCGAUGCUGCUCUUCCUUCACCGGCCGAUAUCUCUCUCAUCCAACCUCGAAUCGAGUUGAUUCCAAAAGGGAUUUUGCUGGGCCUGAGCUAUAUUACAACUUUGUAGAAGACAUCGAGGGGAAAUAACCAACGUGGUAGCCGCUACAAGUCGAAGAACACGGUGCAGUCGAGCUGGAAAUCACCUCCUUUCCCCACCGUCGUUCUCCCUCCUCCGGCCACCUUUUGCCGUGAUUCUUGAGAGGAUUCUGCACUUCUGAGGAUGUAUAUCAUUUCCCCUAAGGUGGAUUGCAUCGAUUUCAUCUGUGGAGAUCGAAUUGGAACGAAUUCAAAACUAGGGUUCUUCGGGUUUCAAACCUUAUAAGGUGAUUGACGGUUUGAGUUAGUGGACGAUUGUGGAUCGUAUUUUGAGCGGAAUUGAAGACGCAGCGGGAUUAUCGAGCGGGUAAUCCUACAGGACAGGAGAACCAGGACGGUGAUCGUGCGGUUAGAGCAAUUGUUAGAGUUUUACAGCAAUUGUACGUUGUGAGGUGUGUUAUGCUCAUUUGAGCUUUACAAUAUUGCUUGUGAGAGUGAAUUGUAAUAAUGAACUCGAAGUUUCGAGAUUUGGAUUUUGUAAUUGUAAUUAUUCAUGUUUCGGAUUUGAAUUUAUUAUUCAAAAU